rnacentral:lncRNA from 1 species
CUGAAGAAGAGGACAGAAGGAGAAGCGUGGGAGGUUGUCAGCAUGCGAGACGCAGACGAGACGUUGUCGCUUCUUACCUCCCUGACACGGGAUGGCUCCUACCACAGAAGGCCACAGGCAGACCUUAGAGACCGAGAGCCUCCUCCCUCCUCUGUCCAGCCUGAGACUCCGAUUCUUCAACCUGCUACCACCAACUCCAUUGAAGCUCCACCUCACCUCAACACCACCUCUGACUCCCAGCUUCCUGGACCUGCAGAGGAGUGUGAUGAGCAGAUAGAGAAGCUGUUGGAGGACAUCAUGAUGGGCCUGAACAUCCUGCCAAACGUGGAGAGGGACUGCAAGAAGUCCCAUUAUCUUCCACCAAACCAUGACGAAGCACCGGCCAUUUGCCAGGUCCCAGUUACAGAGAACGAGCGGCCGCAGAGUCGGGUGCCUGCUGCCGUCCGUGCAGCAGGGCGCGUGUAUUACCAGGAUGUUGGGACACAAAUUGGUCAAUCAUCAACAAAUACAGGUAUGUAUUGUUGUUUUACAGCUCAGAACCAGCCCAGCUGCUCAAGCCUUUCAUCUGUACAGCCGACUUCUGUGCUAACGCAGCAGCAGCAGCAGCAGCGGCGGCGGCGCUUUCCUCAGUAUCACCCAUCUGUCACAUCCAUGGUGCAAAGAGAUGGAAGGAGCCACCAGGGCAUGUCACUGUCCAAAAGUACAAAAUUGUCCAUAUCCUGAAGCACCCACAACACGAUCAGUCAUACCCACAGCUCUCAACUCCAGUGGGCAGAAACUAUUUUCUGCCCUUACAUAUUACCCAGCAUGCCAGGAACCGUCUUCACAACGCAAUCCAAACAUCCUGGAGUUUUUACCCGUGACGAAUGGAAAUGAAGCACAGUCCUCGCAUUCUUUACCUUGCAUGGAUGAUUUACGGCUUCCUUCAUGUCUCUCUCCAUUAGAUCAGCCGACCCUCAACGACUCAACGGACCAAAGCAAUACAAUUCAGACACAGCCAUCUUUUCACAGGCGACCCUGGCUCACAGUAAACCCCGGAUCACUACAGUUUCCUCUCAGUGCCAUCACUCACAAAGCAAAUAAAAGUGCGUCUUUUCCACAGCAUACAAAGCACAGCUGUUUGUUCAAUCCACAAAAUUGGGGAACCCGGGCAGCAUUGUGUACUGGGAAAGAGGUGGAAGAGAGAGGAGCAAUAUCUGCUAGCCAUCAAAAUGUGACAGAACUGAAAUCUGCUCCCAGGAAGAUAAAAUGUGAACAAGGUGACACUAAAGGUGAUGCUGUGGCGCCUAAAAGAAGGAAGAGAAAGUGCACAAGUCAUCCGCAAGAGGCCAGUUCUGUUUUGGCAUUCAAAUGUAUGAAAGUCAGUGAUGAAACCCAAGACCUGAGAGUUUGUUCAGUCAGUUUGUCGAGCAGCAAUGUGUUGGCGAAGGAAAGGGAAAUAACCGCCGGUUCUUCAAACAUACCAAACAAAGUUGUAGGGAAACCAAAUGAGCCGUCAACCAUCACAGACAAUCUGAAUGAGAAAACCAGAGUGCCUAGAGGUCUCAAAUCUGACCCACAGACACGGAUCAGGACCAGGGGCUUUUUAAAAAAAACUCAAGAGACGCCAAGUAACGCGAGCAUAGAAGAUUCAGCUUUAAAACCCGCGACCCCUAGAGCUCAGAUUGUCAAUAAAGAAGGAGUCCCCAAGCGGGGACGCGGAAGGCCACAGAAAACAAAGGUUGAAAAGAGCCCUCCAGAGAACUCUCCUGCCUUGGUGGAAAAAAAGAGCCAGGAUGUGAACAGAGAGGCUCAAAUUAACCGCAAUUUACUGGAGGAGGAGGAGAGUGAACAAAAUAAGAGAAAGUCUAAGAAACUGAGGAAGAAUAGAGGAGUGGAGGCAAUACCACUGAAGAAGACCAGAAGUGCUGAAAGCACUGUCAAGGCUGUGGCAGACGAUAACAAUGAAGUAAUCCCAGCAGGAAGGAAACUUGGGACACCCAAACAGCCUCAGAUGGUCAAUCUGAAGGAGUUUCAAAAGCUUAUCAAACACCAGCACUCAAAAGCAGGCAGGGCAAAAGAAAUGCAGGAACAGGAAUCAAAUGAAACAUCAAGAGCUGUAGAAAGUGAAGGGAAUGCAUGUGGCAGCAGAGUUGAAGAAUUACCUAAGGAGACAGAAAUGGACAUUGCUCAGCCUCAGAACAGGGACGGGAUCAAGUCAACAUGUGGGUAUCUCAAAUCCCAGCGAGAUGACAGAAACGGCUCUGCUAGUGAAGACACCAGUUUGUUGGUUGAUGAGUCCCAUCCCGUGUUUUCCGUUGAUGUUUUGGGAGAAGACGUUUCCACGUUAGCAGCUGAGAGGGAGCAGCCAUCAAAGAAUCCUGAUGAAGGAGUGUUAGAUACAACACAGCAUCAUGCUAUCACCGAUGAAAGCUCGUCUCACAGUGACACCCACCUGCCUCAACAAGACGAAAUACCUUUGAACUACAACUUGAAUCCACAGACCCCCGAGAGCACUGCUCCACCUCUGUCAGACGCUGUCGGGUUCAGCAAGAGCUCAGGCUGCGAUCAAGGAGAAACAAAAGAAGAAGAGGACGUGGAUGUUGACGUUCUGAUUUACUCCCCAGACCAAGUGCCUCAGACCGGAGAGUGUGAGAACAGACUCGACUGCAUUGAAAUAACUCCCGAGGAGGAAGAGGAGGAAGAUGUGACCGAGGUUGAUGUGACUGGAGAUGAGGUUUGA